GACGGAAGGUGCAAGCGUUGCUCGGAAUCACUGGGCGUAAAGGGUGCGUAGGCGGCUUGGUGGGUCUGGUGUGAAAGCCCCGGGCUCAGCCCGGGAAGGGCGCUAGAAACUGCCGAGCUCGAGUGCCGGAGGGGAGAGUGGAAUUCCUGGUGUAGCGGUGAAAUGCGUAGAUAUCCGGAGGAACACCGGUGGCGAAGGCGGCUUCCUGGACCGACACUGACGCUGAGGCGCGAAAGCUAGGGGAGCAAACGGG
rnacentral:rRNA from 1 species